UACGUAGGGGGCGAGCGUUGUCCGGAAUCAUUGGGCGUAAAGCGCGUGUAGGCGGCUUGGUAAGUCUGGUGUGAAAUCCUGGGGCUCAACCCCAGGCCUGCACUGGAUACUGCCUGGCUAGAGUCCGGGAGGGGACAUCGGAAUUCCUAGUGUAGCGGUGAAAUGCGCAGAUAUUAGGAAGAACACCAAUGGCGAAGGCAGAUGUCUGGAACGGUACUGACGCUGAGACGCGAAAGCGUGGGGAGCGAACAGGAUUAGAUACCCUGGUAGUCCACGCCGUAAACGAUGGGCACUAGAUGUGGGCGGUGUCGACUCCGUCCGUGUCGUAGCUAACGCAUUAAGUGCCCCGCCUGGGGAGUACGGCCGCAAGGCUA
rnacentral:rRNA from 1 species